CGCGUAGGCGGUUUCUAAAGUCAGAUGUGAAAGCCCGGGGCUCAACCCCGGAAGCGCAUUUGAAACUUAGGGACUUGAGUAUGGGAGAGGGAAGUGGAAUUCCUGGUGUAGCGGUGAAAUGCGUAGAUAUCAGGAGGAACAUCGGUGGCGAAGGCGACUUCCUGGACCAAUACUGACGCUGAGGCGCGAAGGCGUGGGGAGCAAACA
rnacentral:rRNA from 1 species